CAGUAUAAGUCUUAGCACGGCGAAACUGCGAAUGGCUCAUUAAAACAGUUAUAGUUUAUUUGAUGGUCAAGUUGUUAUAUGGAUAACUGUGGUAAUUCUAGAGCUAAUACAUGCGUACUAACCCGACUUUUUGGAAGGGUUGUAUUUAUUAGAUACAGAACCAAUGCGCCUCGGCGUCUUUUGGAUGAUUCAUAAUAAACGAACGGAGCACAUGGCUCGUGCCGGUGCUGUAUCAUUCAAGUUUCUGACCUAUCACCUUUCGACGGUGGGGUAUUGGCCCACCGUGGGUUUGACGGGUAACGGAGAAUUAGGGUUCGAUUCCGGAGAGGGAGCCCGAGAAACGGCUACCACAUCUAAGGAAGGCAGCAGGAGCGCAAAUUACCCAAUCCUGACACAGGGAGGUAGUGACAAGAAAUAACAAAGCAAGGCCUCACAGGCUUUUGCUAUUGGAAUGAGUAAAUUUAAUCUCUUUUCGACUAUCAAUUGGAGGGCAAGUCUGUAGAG
rnacentral:rRNA from 1 species